GUGCCUAAUACAUGCAAGUCGAGCGGACAGAUGGGAGCUUGCUCCCUGAUGUUAGCGGCGGACGGGUGAGUAACACGUGGGUAACCUGCCUGUAAGACUGGGAUAACUCCGGGAAACCGGGGCUAAUACCGGAUGGUUGUUUGAACCGCAUGGUUCAGACAUAAAAGGUGGCUUCGGCUACCACUUACAGAUGGACCCGCGGCGCAUUAGCUAGUUGGUGAGGUAACGGCUCACCAAGGCAACGAUGCGUAGCCGACCUGAGAGGGUGAUCGGCCACACUGGGACUGAGACACGGCCCAGACUCCUACGGGAGGCAGCAGUAGGGAAUCUUCCGCAAUGGACGAAAGUCUGACGGAGCAACGCCGCGUGAGUGAUGAAGGUUUUCGGAUCGUAAAGCUCUGUUGUUAGGGAAGAACAAGUGCCGUUCAAAUAGGGCGGCACCUUGACGGUACCUAACCAGAAAGCCACGGCUAACUACGUGCCAGCAGCCGCGGUAAUACGUAGGUGGCAAGCGUUGUCCGAAUUAUUGGGCGUAAGGGCUCGCAGGCGGUUCUUAAUCU
rnacentral:rRNA from 1 species